GGAACCCAGUUUGAGAGUCAGGCCAAGGUCAAGGGCCGUUUCACGCCCAGAGAAGGGCUUCCUAGGCCGGCUCCAUCUCCCCAGGGCUACAGGGAUCCAGCCUCAUUCCUGCCCAACCUGCAGCGGAACGAAAAAUCAACUGGCCAGAGGCAGGGACCCCAGGCCGACCUCCCUUCACGGCCCCCUCUCAGCUCACCACCUGCAGGAGCCAGCCUGGCUACCCACCUCUCCUGGCCUGACCUGGGGGCCUCCUGCUCACACGUCCACCCCACGCCGCCCCCAGCUGAAAUCAGAAGCUGCAGCAGGAAGCCGAGGUCCCGGGCAUCCGUCUCCGCCAGGCACUGCAGAUCCCGCGCAGCAGCCACCACGUCUCCCUUCUUGAGCCGGAGCAGGCCCCGCCGGGCUCGGGCAGGCUCUGAUGGCGGAGCGGGGUGUAGGGCUUUUUGCAGGAUUUUGCAAGAAAGACUGACAUUUGGGCACAUGUGCGCUUCAGACAGUCCCACCCAGAACACGGCCUGGCGUCCCGUGGGCACUCACUUAACAUUUAUUGAAUAAACGCAUGAGUUAAAGAGGAGGCCCCAGCGUUUGAGCCUUUUAUGAAAUCCCAAAUCACUCCUGUGUUUCUUCGCCCUGCUGCUGGUGCCACACAGGUGACUCGGAGAGCUAGAGACAUGCACACACCAGGCCCACGUGAAGACCAGGUCACAGGUCCUGUUGCGGUGGAAGGGACCUUAGAAGCCACUGAAUCCAGGGCCUCCUCCCCCAUUUCACAGAAAAGAAUCCAGG